GAUGAACGCUGGCGGCGUGCCUAAUACAUGCAAGUCGAGCGAACAGACGAGGAGCUUGCUUCUCUGACGUUAGCGGCGGACGGGUGAGUAACACGUGGAUAACCUACCUAUAAGACUGGGAUAACUUCGGGAAACCGGAGCUAAUAACGGAUAAUAUAUUGAACCGCAUGGUUCAAUAGUCAAAGACGGUUUUGCUGUCACUUAUACAUGGAUCCGCGCCGCAUUAGCUAGUUGGUAAGGUAACGGCUUACCAAGGCGACGAUGCGUAGCCGACCUGAGAGGGUGAUCGGCCACACUGGAACUGAGACACGGUCCAGACUCCUACGGGAGGCAGCAGUAGGGAAUCUUCCGCAAUGGGCGAAAGCCUGACGGAGCAACGCCGCGUGAGUGAUGAAGGUCUUCGGAUCGUAAAACUCUGUUAUUAGGGAAGAACAAAUGUGUAAGUAACUAUGCACGUCUUGACGGUACCUAAUCAGAAAGCCACGGCUAACUACGUG
rnacentral:rRNA from 1 species